UACGGAGGGUGCAAGCGUUGUUCGGAAUUACUGGGCGUAAAGGGCGCGUAGGCGGGAUGGCAAGUCGGUCGUGAAAUCCCUCGGCUCAACCGAGGAACGUCGAUCGAUACUGCUGUUCUUGAGGAUUGCAGAAGAGACUGGAAUUCCCGGUGUAGCGGUGAAAUGUGUAGAGAUCGGGAGGAACACCGGUGGCGAAGGCGGGUCUCUGGGCAAUUCCUGACGCUGAGGCGCGAAACGUGGGGAGCAAACGGG
rnacentral:rRNA from 1 species